UCUGCUGCUCUCCCCUCUCCCAUUCCAUGAGCUGGCAUGUGUGUUUUGCAUAUUCGAACGUACUCAGAAAUAACACAGUAAUUUCUGAGACAUGAGCUCUUGGACCCCACAAGAAUUCAUAGCGUGGAGGAUUACUGUUCUGGACCUGCCGGUAUAUCAGGUUUAUAGCUGGGGCUCUGUGCCUGCAUGUUUCCACGGCUCCUGGUGAUCACACUUUCUUUUAUGUGGU